GAUGAACGCUAGCGGCAGGCCUAACACAUGCAAGUCGAGGGGCAGCACAUAAAGUGGUUUACUACUUUUGGUGGCGACCGGCGGACGGGUGCGUAACGCGUAUGCAACCUGCCUCCAAUAGGGGGAUAACGGAGAGAAAUUUCCACUAAUACCCCAUAAUAUCAGAAUCGGCAUCGGUUUUGGUUGAAAACUCCGGUGGUUGGAGAUGGGCAUGCGUUGUAUUAGAUAGUUGGUGAGGUAACGGCUCACCAAGUCAACGAUACAUAGGGGGACUGAGAGGUUAGCCCCCCACACUGGUACUGAGACACGGACCAGACUCCUACGGGAGGCAGCAGUGAGGAAUAUUGGUCAAUGGGGGCAACCCUGAACCAGCCAUGCCGCGUGCAGGAAGACGGCUCUAUGAGUUGUAAACUGCUUUUACAAGGGGAUAAAUCGGUGUACGUGUACACCGUUGAAGGUACCUUGGGAAUAAGGAUCGGCUAACUCCGUGCCAGCAGCCGCUGUAA
rnacentral:rRNA from 1 species